rnacentral:rRNA from 1 species
GUCUUAUUGAAUAUAAUUUUAAGUCUGAUCUGCCCAAUGAUUAUUUAAAUGGCUGCAGUAUUUUGACUGUACAAAGGUAGCAUAAUCAUUAGUUUCUUAAUUAGAAACUGGAAUGAAGGAUUUCACGAGAUAGUAACUGUCUUAGUAUAAUUUAUAGAAUUUUAUUUUUAAGUUAAAAAGCUUAAAUUUUUUUAAAAGACGAGAAGACCCUAUAGAAUUUUAUAUUAUUAAGUAUAUUUAUAUUUUAGGUUUAAAAAGUUAAAUUUUACUUUAUGUAUUUAGUUGGGGUGACUUGAAAAUUUAAUAAACUUUUUUUUUAAAUUAACAUUUAUUUAUGUUUUUUUGAGCCAAAAAUUUUGAUUAUAAGAUAUAAUUACCUUAGGGAUAACAGCGUAAUUUUUUUGAAGAGUUCUUAUCGAUAAAAGAGAUUGCGACCUCGAUGUUGGAUUAAAGUAAAUUUUUAAUGUAGAAGUUAAAAUAUUAGGUCUGUUCGACCUUUAAAACUUUACA